rnacentral:rRNA from 1 species
UACGUAGGGUGCGAGCGUUGUCCGGAAUUAUUGGGCGUAAAGAGCUCGUAGGCGGUGUGUCGCGUCGGCCGUGAAAACCUGCAGCUUAACUGUGGGCUUGCGGUCGAUACGGGCAUCACUGGAGUUCGGCAGGGGAGACUGGAAUUCCUGGUGUAACGGUGAAAUGCGCAGAUAUCAGGAGGAACACCGGUGGCGAAGGCGGGUCUCUGGGCCGAUACUGACGCUGAGGAGCGAAAGCGUGGGGAGCGAACAGG